rnacentral:tRNA from 1 species
GCGGCUGAAAUUCAGUCGGGGAACCAGCCUUCCAAGCUGAAUACGAGGGUUCGAUUCCCUUCACCCGCU